AACUUUUUCUUGAAUGUUUUGUGUAGAUUCUGCCAAGUUCACUGUUUCUUCGAUAACAGUUUCGUUUUCACCACUUUCUGCAGGCCAGAGUGGUUUGUAAGCGUAUACACCCGUUUCGACAGUUUGAAUGUUUGCAAUUAGUGUGUCUGUCACUCCUCCAUCAUCUUUAUUUGUCAAUCCUUCAUCAUCUGGCUGCAGUACCCCUAUAGAUACAAAUUAUUGAAUUUUAAUAUAUCAGAAUCAAAAUCGCAUGCUAUACAUGACAUUGCAUGCGAAAUCAAAAUGUGAAGUGUUUGUAUGAAAUCGCAUGUGUUUUUUAAAGGUUUCGCAUGUGUAUAUGAAAUGGUGAUUUUUUUAACAUAAAUUCGCAUGUGUUAAUUUGAAAUCACAUGUUUUACCUUCUGAUGCCAUUUGUACCAAAACAUUGGAUAUUACUUGUUGAGCUUCUUCAUUCUGUCUACUUUUUUCGUUUGUAGUGUCUACAUAUGGAACUUCAGAAGCUGCAUUUUCAUGCUGUUGAUGAUCAUCAGAGGGUGCAGUUUCAUGCUCUUGAACCGAAUCAGGCGGCACACAAAUGGGAUUAUUCCGAAGUGUCUCAUCUCACUGCUUACAGGCCUCCAUAAUCUCCGGAUCCCAAAAACACUUAGUUUUUGCUUCUGAAACUAAGUUGUUCAUCCCUUGAACAUCUUGAACCAUUUUAAUGUAUUUUUUGACAUUGGCUUUCAUUUUUUUCAACAGGUUCUGUAAUAUUUUUCGAGUUAAGAUACUAUCAAUUCAAAUGUUAAAUAUAAAUGGAUUAAGUGAAAUUAAUAUUUUUUUGCGCU